rnacentral:rRNA from 1 species
UACGUAGGGGGCAAGCGUUGUCCGGAAUCAUUGGGCGUAAAGAGCGUGUAGGCGGCCAAGUAGGUCCGGUGUGAAAACUCGAGGCUUAACCUCGAGAUGUCAUCGGAAACCAUUUGGCUAGAGUCCGGAAGAGGAAAGUGGAAUUCCUGGUGUAGCGGUGAAAUGCGCAGAUAUCAGGAAGAACACCAAUGGCGAAAGCAGCUUUCUGGGACGGUACUGACGCUGAGACACGAAAGCGUGGGGAGCGAACAGG